rnacentral:piRNA from 1 species
UGGGUGCAUUGUAGCUCUGAGCCAG